rnacentral:rRNA from 1 species
CAGUCGCCGCGGGAAUACGAAGGGGGCUAGCGUUGUUCGGAUUUACUGGGCUUAAAGGGCGCGUAGGCGGGCGAUUAAGUCAGAGGUGAAAUCCCAAGGCUCAACCUUGGAACUGCCUUUGAUACUGGUUGUCUUGAGUCCGGGAGAGGUGAGUGGAACUGCGAGUGUAGAGGUGAAAUUCGUAGAUAUUCGCAAGAACACCAGUGGCGAAGGCGGCUCACUGGCCCAUAACUGACGCUGAGGCACGAAAGCGUGGGGAGCAAACAGGAUUAGAUACCCCUGUAGUCCCUGUCUCUUAUAC